AUGGAGACCGACUGUCUUCAGGCAGUUAACCUCUGGGACUCUUGCUACAUCGACCGGUCGGUGGUAGCACCUAUUCUUUCUGAAAUUGGAGAGCUUGCUCUUAGUUUUAUCUCUUUCAAUAUUCAACAUGUAAUAAGAUCAGCAAACGGUUCUGCACAUCUGUGUGCUAAGCGUGGCUCUACGCUUAAUGUGACUGAGAGCUGGUUAGGCUCUACUCCUAGCUUCCUGAUCAGCAGCCUACUGGCUGACUGCUGAUCGAAUACUUUUGUGUUGAAUAAAGCUCUCUGA
rnacentral:rRNA from 1 species